rnacentral:rRNA from 1 species
GUCUACAGCCAUGCUAUCCUGAACAAGCCCGAUCCCAUCUGAUCUCGGAAGCUAAGCUCGGGCCUGGUUAGUACUUGGAUGGGAGACCACCUAGGAAGACCAGGUGCUGUAGGCA